AGCGAACGCUGGCGGCAGGCCUAACACAUGCAAGUCGAACGAACCCUUCGGGGUUAGUGGCGGACGGGUGGGUAACACGUGGGAACGUGCCUUUAGGUUCGGAAUAACUCAGGGAAACUUGUGCUAAUACCGAAUGGGCCCUUAGGGGGAAAGAUUUAUCGCCUUUAGAGUGGCCCGCGUCUGAUUAGCUAGUUGGUGAGGUAAAGGCUCACCAAGGCUACGAUCAGUAGCUGGUCUGAGAGGAUGACCAGCCACAUUGGGACUGAGACACGGCCCAAACUCCUACGGGAGGCAGCAGUGGGGAAUCUUGCGCAAUGGGCGAAAGCCUGACGCAGCCAUGCCGCGUGGAUGAUGAAGGUCUUAGGAUUGUAAAAUCCUUUCACCGGUGAAGAUAAUGACUGUAGCCGGAGAAGAAGCCCCGGCUAACUUCGUGCCAGCCGCCGCAGUAAAAC
rnacentral:rRNA from 1 species